rnacentral:sRNA from 1 species
GGAGAAUUUUAAUUCGUUGAAGGAUGAAUAAACAGACAAAGAAAUCUUAUUACAUCGUCAUUUUGUAAACCGAUUCAUCAUUGUUACAAAAUCAGUUUGUGGUAGAUGUAAUUUCACUUAGGGUAUUGAUAUUAUCGGAGUUUGCCUUUUAACAUGGAUCACUUACCAAUGUUCGGUUGCCGCAAAACGACUGGUGGUUUUUUUUUUUUUUACCGAAAAACAUGCCUCUAUACUUAUUGACUAUUUCUUUGUUAUAUUCAAAAAAUAGUUUGAAAAAAUAAAACGCGAAAUGUGUUUCUAAGCUUACGUAUAUAUUGAUUGUGUGCAAUUAUUGUUUUAUUAAAAAAGGCUUUGUAGUCUU